UACGUAGGGGGCUAGCGUUGUUCGGAAUUACUGGGCGUAAAGCGCGCGUAGGCGGACCUGCAAGUCGGGGGUGAAAGCCCGGGGCUCACCCCCGGAAGUGCAUUGGAAACUGGUGGACUCGAGUCCCGGAGAGGAGAGUGGAAUUCCUGGUGUAGCGGUGAAAUGCGUAGAUAUCAGGAGGAACACCGGUGGCGAAGGCGGCUCUCUGGACGGUGACUGACGCUGAGACGCGAAAGCGUGGGGAGCAAACAGG
rnacentral:rRNA from 1 species